rnacentral:rRNA from 1 species
GAUGAACGCUGGCGGCGUGCCUAAUACAUGCAAGUCGAGCGAACGGACGAGAAGCUUGCUUUUCUGAUGUUAGCGGCGGACGGGUGAGUAACACGUGGAUAACCUACCUAUAAGACUGGGAUAACUUCGGGAACCCGGAGCUAAUACCGGAUAAUAUUUUGAACCGCAUGGUUCAAAAGUGAUAGACGGUCUUGCUGUCACUUAUAGAUGGAUCCGCGCUGCAUUAGCUAGUUGGUAAGGUAACGGCUUACCAAGGCAACGAUGCAUAGCCGACCUGAGAGGGUGAUCGGCCACACUGGAACUGAGACACGGUCCAGACUCCUACGGGAGGCAGCAGUAGGGAAUCUUCCGCAAUGGGCGAAAGCCUGACGGAGCAACGCCGCGUGAGUGAUGAAGGUCUUCGGAUCGCAAAACUCUGUUAUUAGGGAAGAACAUAUGUGUAAGUAACUGUGCACAUCUUGACGGUACCUAAUCAGAAAGCCACGGCUAACUACGUG